CAGACGUGGUUCGAACGUCCUACCUGAGUGAGGCGUGAAGAAUCUGUCCAUGAAGGAGUGAUGGGAGAAAGCCCAAGCGGGUCUCACAAUCGAGGUUAGUGCUGAGUGGUGGUGGGCAGAGCUCAAUCCGAGUGGCUCCGCGAACCCGACUGAAGUGACACAUUGAGGAUGCGACUGGCACGAAUGGCAAUCUGCGAUGCGGCCGGUGUCUUCGGGUGGGAAAUGGCACCACCUGCUGGACGUUUUAGUCCUCGCAAGCCUUACUCCUGCGCAGUCCAAUUUUGAAGUUUUUAAGAGAUAUUAGAAUACAAGUUUAGGAUAAGCAAUAAUCAUUAAGCUAUUUGAAUAAUGAACUAUUUAUUUCUGUUUUUAAUGUGAUCAAAUAUUUUACUUUCUGUCGUAAAUCAAUAUCAUUCAUAAAUGAGUUUUCCACGAUAUUCUAUUUUAUUGAGAGGCACCUGUAUUGUAUAAUGCCACUCUCUUGUGACUCUCUAACUAUAAUGUCGUGUAAUUCUACACCACCGCAAACGAACCAUAAUAUCGACCAUACUGUUCAUUCAAUGCUGACAGUGUCAAUCAAACGUGUACCUAAUGUUGUGACCAGUGAGAGGACCUCACAUGUUAAAAGAAAAAAAAAAAAACAAUCUACACGGUUAUUACUCACCCACCUUUCCAAAUGUAUGAAUCUGUCAUUCUUAUUUUUGAAAGUUUCAAAUAAGCAACAGCGAAAUGUGUCAUGUUAGUCCACGUCACAUUCAGGAGUAAUUAGCAGACUGUUGAGGAGUAGAAAACAAACCGAGGGGAAGAAACACUUUUUAUCAGACUUCAACAGAACACUUUAUUGCAUUGCAAAUUAUUUGACUUAAUUCAAUUCAUUCAAAAUUAAGUCCGUCAUUUAUUAUCUGCGUACGUAAUAGGGAUUGGACCCGGUUACAGAACUGCAUGUUUCAUAAAGCCGAACAUGAAUUAAAAAACGGUUACAUUUUUGUGACAAACUGUUUCACACAAUUGCAUUUUGCUAAUUUAACACAACAACAUAAAAUUGAUACCCCAUCAACAUGUUUUUGUUUUUUUUUGUUGUUGAUGAAAUUUAGCCUGCCUUGCAUUUAUCUUGUCUGUGUCUAAAGUAUCAAUGUAUA